UCCAGACUCCUACGGGAGGCAGCAGUGAGGAAUAUUGGUCAAUGGCCGAGAGGCUGAACCAGCCAAGUCGCGUGAGGGAUGACGGCCCUACGGGUUGUAAACCUCUUUUGUCGGGGAGCAAAGAGAGUCACGUGUGACUCAUUGAGAGUACCCGAAGAAAAAGCAUCGGCUAACUCCGUGCCAGCAGCCGCGGUAAUACGGAGGAUGCGAGCGUUAUCCGGAUUUAUUGGGUUUAAAGGGUGCGCAGGCGGAGGUGCAAGUCAGCGGUCAAAUUGCGGGGCUCAACCCCGUACUGCCGUUGAAACUGCAUCCCUUGAGUGCGCGAGAAGUAUGCGGAAUGCGCAGUGUAGCGGUGAAAUGCUUAGAUAUUGCGCAGAACUCCGAUUGCGAAGGCAGCAUACCGGCGGCGAUCUGACGCUGAGGCACGAAAGCGUGGGUAUCGAACAGGAUUAGAUACCCGAGUACA
rnacentral:rRNA from 1 species